UCAAAAAAAUGUAUGCUUAAGGUGAAUACCUAAGGACUCAAAGAUGAUGAAGGGCGUUUAAACCUGCGAAAAUUUCUAGUCAGCUGGAAAAAAGCAUUGGCUCUUGCCAUAGCUAGAAGUUCCCGAAUAGAGCCAUCUUUCAAACUACUGAACGAAUUCAUAGUUGAGUAAGAAAAAACUUAGUGAACUGAAACAUCUUAUUAACUAAAGGAAAAAAAAGCAAAAUGCGAUUUCCUGAGUAGCGGUGAGCGAAACGGAAAAGGCCUAAACUCAAAUUUGUUGAGUGUUGUGGGAUUCAAAACAAAAAAACAGAAAAGAAAAAUUUAAGCAGCUGAAACCUGUACCAAAGAUGGUGAAAGUCCAGUUUUUUUCUCUUUUCUUUUUUUUGAGAAUAUCCCAAGUAGCUUGGGACACGUGCAAUCCCUUGUGAAUCCACGAGGACCACCUCGUAAGGCUCAAUACUCUUGAGUCACUGAUAGUGAAGAGUACCGUGAGGGAAAGGUGAAAAAGAACCCCUGUAGGGGAGUGAAAAAGAUCAUGAAACCUAAAGCAAUCAAACUGUGGGAGGAGACUAAGUACUCUGACCGCGUGCCUGUUGAAGAAUGAGCCGGCGACUCAUAAUUUUUGGCGAGGUUAAAGAUAUUUUCUGGAGCCAGAGUGAAAACAAGUCAAAAAAGGGCGUUUUGUCAAAAAUUAUGGACCCGAACCCGUUGUGAUCUAACCAUGACCAGGAGGAAGCGGAGGUAAAACUUCGUGGACGUCCGAACCGACCAAUGUUGAAAAAUUGACGGAUGAGUUGUGGUUAGGGGUGAAAUGCCAAUCGAACACGGAGCUAGCUGGUUCUCCCCGAAAUGCGUUUUGGCGCAGCAUUUGUCGAUGAACGAUCAAGAGGUAGAGCUCUGUUUCGGUACGGGCCAGUCAAAUGGUACUAAAUUGUUGCAAACUCCAAAUUCUUGAUCUGUUAGAACAAGAAUAAUCAAUAUUAUUCAAUAAAACCACUUCGUGGCCCUCUUUUUACCGACAAAGAGUGAGACUCUGGGGGAUAAGCUCCAAAGUCAAAAGGGAAACAGCCCAGACCAUCAGCUAAGGCCCCUAAAUAAUCGCUAAGUGUUAAAGGAAGUCUUAAUGCUGAAACAGCCAGAAGGUUCGCUUAGAAGCAGCUAUCCUUUAAAGAAUGCGUAAUAGCUCACUGGUUCAUUGAAGCGUUCAUGCGCCGAAAAUGUAUGGGACUAAGCGAUUUGCCGAAGCUAUGGGAGAUGUACAAUCUCGGUAGGGGAGCGUUCUGUUGAUAGAGGUGAAGUCUUUUUGAAAAAAAAGUUGGAUUCAACAGAAGUGAGAAUGUUGGCUUGAGUAACGCAAACAUUGGUGAGAAUCCAAUGCCCCAAAAACCUCAGGUUUCCUCCACAAGGUUCGUCCAUGGAGGGUUAGUCAGGUCCUAAGAUUAGGCUGAUAAGCGUCAUUGAUGGAAAACAGGUGAAUAUUCCUGUACUUAUGAAAAUUGAGUGACAAAGGACGAAGGAGGCAAGAAACGAUGACGCGAAUGGUUGUCAUGGAAAUGUUCAUCCACGAAAAAAGAACAAAAACUUUUCUCGAUAUGGAAAGACAUGAACCAGUCGUUUUUUUUUCGUGAAAAAAUGUUCGAUCAACUCUUGUCAGACUUCCAAGAAAAGUUUGUGACACUGCACAAUUUUCAUAACCUGUACCUGAAACCGACACAGGUAGGUGAGUUGAGUAUACGAAGGGGCGCGAGAAAACUCUCUCUAAGGAACUCGGCAAAAUAGCCCCGUAACUUCGGGAGAAGGGGUACCUUGAACAAGAUUCAAGGUCGCAGUGAAUGGAUUUAUCGAACUGUUUAUCAAAAACACAGGUCUCUGCAAAGUCGUAAGACAACGUAUAGGGGCUGACGCCUGCCCAGUGCCGGAAGGUUAAAGAAAUCGGUUAACGCUGAUAACUGAAGCCCCGGUGAACGGCGGCCGUAACUCUGACGGUCCUAAGGUAGCGAAAUUCCUUGUCACGUAAGUUGUGACCCGCACGAAAGGCGUAAUCAGAUAAAUACUGUCUCAGAGAGAGACUCGGUGAAAUAGACAUGUCCGUGAAGAUGCGGACUUCUCAUAGUUAGACAAAAAGACCCCGUGAAGCUUGACUGUAUCUUAAUAUUGGCUUCCAGUUAUUUGUGUGCAGUCUAGGUGGGAGGUGAUGAAGUUCAAAAAUUGAAUGGAGCCGUCAUUGAGAGACCACCCUCAAAUAACGAGAAUUCUCAAAGUGUUUCCUUGCAUCAGGACAUUUGACAGUGUUAGGAGGGCAGUUUUUUUGGGGCGAAAAUCUCCUAAAAAGUAACGGAGGUUUGCAAAGGUUCCCUCAAACUGGACGGAAAUCAGUUGUUGAGUGUAAAGGCAAAAGGGAGCUUGACUGUGAGACCCAUAAGUCGAACAGAGGCGAAAGCCGGCCUUAGUGAUCCGACGGUAACCGUGUGGAAGGGCCGUCGCGCAAAAAAUAAAAGUUACUCCGGGGAUAACAGGCUCAUCUCCCCCAAGAGUUCCUAUCGACGGGGAGGUUUGGCACCUCGAUGUUGACCUUUCGCAACCUGGGGCGGUAGCACGUCCCAAGGGUUGGGCUGUUCGCCCAUUAAAGCGGAACACGAGUUGAGUUCAGAACGUAAACUCAUUGCGUUAAGGCCGCGCAAGCGGCUUUGAGUAUUGGCUUAUAUCGGUGAAACCUUCUUGAGAAAACGCCGCUUGGCGGCCCUCAAUGGCAAUACCGAGGGAAGAAUGAAAAAAAAAUGAACAAAAAUAUUAAGCUUACAAGUGAAGAAAUCGCCUAUAUUGCUGGUUUUUUAGAUGGCGAUGGUUGUUUAUUAGCACAACUUGUUCGACGAAAAGAUUAUCGUUAUGGUUAUCAAAUACGUUUAAGUAUUUAUUUUUAUCAAAAAACAAAACGUUAUUGGUUUCUUCUAUGGUUAAAAAAGAAACUUCAUUAUGGUACUCUUCGACAAAGAAAAGAUGGUGUAUCGGAGUAUAGUAUUGUAGGUUCUGCACAAGUCGAAAAAAUUCUCCACAUCCUUUGUAACAAGUUACGUAUUAAACAUAAGCUUUGUAGACUUCUAUUGACAAUUAUUGAAGAUUUAAAUGCCUUUUGAAAACAAAAGGAGAAAACAUGCGUGAGACAGUUUGGUCUAUAUCUGCUAUGAGCGUUAGAAUAUUGAAAGGAGUUUUCCAUAAUACGAGAGGACUUGGAAGAACAUACCUCUGGUGUACCAGUUCUUUUACCAAAAGGAAACGCUGGGUAGCUAUGUAUGGAGAAGAGUACCGCUGAAGGCAUCUAAGUGGGAAGCUCACCUUAAGAUGAAUAUUCUCAAAAAGAUUCCGGCAAGAUCAGCCGGUUGAUAGGUUUCCGGUGUAAGAUUCGUAAGAAUUUUAGCUAAGAAAUACUAAAAAUCGAUUGUCUUUGAUUC
rnacentral:rRNA from 1 species